AGGAGUGUAGCUCAGCCUGGUAGAGCAACGGUCUCCAAAACCGUCGGCCGGGGGUUCGAAUCCUCCCACUCCUGCCA
rnacentral:tRNA from 1 species